rnacentral:rRNA from 1 species
GACGAACGCUGGCGGCGUGCUUAACACAUGCAAGUCGAACGAAGUGGCGAACGGGUGAGUAACGCGUAAUCAACCUGCCCUUCAGAGGGGGAUAACAGUUGGAAACGACUGCUAAUACCGCAUACUGAAGGAGGGGAUGGCGGCUGAUUAGCUGGUUGGAGGGGUAACGGCCAACCAAGGCGAUGCUCAGUAGCCGGUCUGAGGGGAUGAACGGGCACAUUGGGACUGAGACACGGCCACGAGUCUUACGGGAGGCAGCAGUGGGGAAUCUUCCGCAAGGGACGAAAGUCGGACGGAGCAACGCCGCGUGAGUGAUGACGGCCUUCGGGUUGUAAAGCUCUGUUAAUCGGGACGUGGUACCGGAAUAGAAAGCCACGGCUAACUACGUGCCAGCAGCCGCGGUAAUAC